rnacentral:rRNA from 1 species
AUUGAACGCUGGCGGAAUGCUUUACACAUGCAAGUCGAACGGCAGCACGGACUUCGGUCUGGUGGCGAGUGGCGAACGGGUGAGUAAUGUAUCGGAACGUGCCCAGUCGUGGGGGAUAACGCAGCGAAAGCUGUGCUAAUACCGCAUACGAUCUACGGAUGAAAGCGGGGGACCGCAAGACCUCGCGCGAUUGGAGCGGCCGAUAUCAGAUUAGCUAGUUGGUGAGGUAAAGGCUCACCAAGGCGACGAUCUGUAGCUGGUCUGAGAGGACGACCAGCCACACUGGAACUGAGACACGGUCCAGACUCCUACGGGAGGCAGCAGUGGGGAAUUUUGGACAAUGGGCGAAAGCCUGAUCCAGCAAUGCCGCGUGCAGGAUGAAGGCCUUCGGGUUGUAAACUGCUUUUGUACGGAACGAAACGGUGAGCUCUAAUACAGUUUGCUAAUGACGGUACCGUAAGAAUAAGCACCGGCUAACUACGUGCCAGCCGCCGCCGUAA